rnacentral:lncRNA from 1 species
AUGCAUCUUCAUUGGUUAUAGCAUGGAAACAAAGGGCUACAAGCUGUACAACCUAAAGACCCAAAAGGUAAUCAUUAGCCAUGAUGUUACUUUUGAUGAAUAUGGAGUAUGGAAAUGGUCUGAAAAAGAAAAGAUAUCACUAUCUGUUCUGGUGUUCGUAAAUAAUGAAAUAGAAAUAAGUAAUCGCACUGGUGAGCAGUCUUCUCCUCCAGUUUUUAAAGAAUCUUCUAGUGUCACUCCAGAAUCUUC